rnacentral:lncRNA from 1 species
CAAGAGGAUGCCUAUAAAUGGUUGCUGUCCUCAUCUGCAAACAAAUAUUUCUUUAGUUUUUGGAUGAUGUACAAAUACUGUAGAAACAAAACAGCAUUUCAAAGCAGAUCAUGUUUCAUGGUUAAAUAAGAAUGAGAGCUCCAAAAUCGAACCGUGAUUACAACACUUGCCUGGUGGUGAGCCUUUGUGCAUUAUGAAGCCUUGGGUUCAUCAGCAGUCAGAGCACAUUCCUGAUGUUGGUACAACAUGUGCUCAAGGUAGGACUUUGACAUGACAAAGUUUUGUGUGUGCUGUGAUCAGACAGAAUGAAACCACCAUUCCACAUUCUGUGGUGUGCUUCUGCCUGCCUAUGUCUGGCUGGAAUAGAUCCGUGCUGUUGGCUCAGCUGCCACCAUUCUUCCUAAAAACAAUUCCUUCUAAUUUGAAACAAGCACAGCAACAACAAUGAUAAAAAAAUACAUUCCCUCCAACCCUGUAAUCUUCUUGGCUGUCAUUUGAUUCUAUUUUUUGUUCUGAUUUUUGAAUUUUGUAGUAUCACCCAUGAUUCAAUGAAGACUUUGCUGUAUGUAAAUACAACAGGACUGGAGUGGGAGUACUGGAAGACGACGGAAGAGAACAGCCACUGACAUGAAAGAUUGCAAGCUGGGACCUGGCUCAACUGAUCCAGAUGAGCUCCUUCUAUUGCAGUGUACCUGGGUGCUUCCAUUGUGCUGCCUGGAGAGCACAGGACUCCCUGGUAAAUGCUUGAAGGAACACCACACAUCCUCUGUACCUGGUCAUAGAAUCAUAGAAUCACCACAGCUGGAAAAGACCUACAAGAUUAUCCAUUCCAGCCGUCCAUCACCAACAGCUCUCACUAAGACAUGUCCUUCAACAUAACGUGUACAGCAGCUCCAGUAGCAGCCACAGCACACGAUGGUGACCUCUGAGAUCUGGGUGUGUUCUUCUGGAGUGCAGAGUGGCAACACACCGCUGCCCUGAAGGGAAGGACACAAACUGGAGGUGUGGUGGUGCUCAGGAUGUGUCCUUGCUUUGCAGAGUUUGACAAGCAUUUAUCAGUGCUUCACAACCUCAGUCUGUUUCAGUUUUCUUACUAACAGCUAUUUUUUGAACCUAAGGGAGAAACCACACCAUUUUACGCUGCAAAAAACAUGUGUUGUAGUUCGUGGCAAUAUUCCAGGCUUCCAGGUAACCGUUUUCAUCUUCAGGUCUCAAAGACAGUUAAUAGUCAAUAGUGAAUAAGUUCUGCCAUUGGGAGCAAUAUCCUGCUCCGGUGUUUGCAAAGCUACGCACAUCUGAUUGUUUUCAUGCAAGUGCUCUCCCUUACCACAGAAGUUGUUGUAAGAAGAAGAAAUAAAUGAUACUGGGAUGCAAAAUUCCCUCA